rnacentral:rRNA from 1 species
UAGGGAAUAUUGGACAAUGGGGGCAACCCUGAUCCAGCCAUGCCGCGUGAGUGAAGAAGGCCCUCGGGUUGUAAAGCUCUUUUGUCCGGAAAGAAAAGCAUUCGGUGAAUACCCGGAUGUUCUGACGGUACCGGAAGAAUAAGCACCGGCUAACUUCGUGCCAGCAGCCGCGGUAAUACGAAGGGUGCAAGCGUUACUCGGAAUUACUGGGCGUAAAGCGUGCGUAGGUGGUUGUUUAAGUCUGAUGUGAAAGCCCUGGGCUCAACCUGGGAAUGGCAUUGGAAACUGGGCAGCUAGAGUGCGGUAGAGGGUAGUGGAAUUCCCGGUGUAACAGUGAAAUGCGUAGAGAUCGGGAGGAACAUCUGUGGCGAAGGCGACUGCCUGGACCAGCACUGACACUGAGGCACGAAAGCGUGGGGAGCAAACA